rnacentral:rRNA from 1 species
AAUGUAGGCAUAAGUAACGAUAAGGCGGGUGAGAAACCCGCCCACCGAUAGACCAAGGUUUCCCGGGCAAUGCUAAUCAACCCGGGGUCAGUCGGGACCUAAGGCGCACCCGCAAGGGGAAGUCGAUGGACAACAGGUCAACAUUCCUGUACCUGCACAGGACGAAAGCGACGAAUGGAGGUAGGACGUGCGUACUGACGGAACAGUACGUUGAAGGCCCAGGCCGACAGUACUGCAAAGCUACGGCAGCGCAGAUAACCGUCCGAUUCCCGUUCCAAGAAAAGCGACUGCUGCAGCCCGUACCGUAAACCGACACAG